GAUUCAAAGCUGCGAGAGUGUCAAACAGCGCCAUCUGGUGGUUAGUGAAAAAAAUAACGACGUCAAAAGCCUGUGGAAGAAACUCCAUUGGAUGAAGCAGCCCAGGGGCGUAGCCAUCAUUUCAGUUGGGAGCUAUUAAAGACGGUGCUAACGCCAUGUGCAGUUCAGAAUAACUUGGCUUCAUACUCGGGCACUCUCCAGUCAAGAGAGCGGUUGUGCAAUAUGUCUUAACUUCUACAACAUGCAAGACAGACCUGUGGCUGCAUCUGUUAGAGCCAGCAGCAGAAGGAAGGAGAGAACAGCCAUCUUCCCUCACCGUGGUGUGUUUGAGCUCAG